rnacentral:rRNA from 1 species
UACGUAGGGUGCAAGCGUUGUCCGGAAUUAUUGGGCGUAAAGAGCUCGUAGGCGGUUUGUUGCGUCGGCUGUGAAAUCCCGAGGCUCAACCUCGGGUCUGCAGUCGAUACGAGCAAACUAGAGUGUUGCAGGGGGAGACUGGAAUUCCAGGUGAUAGCGGUGAAAUGCGCAGAUAUCUGGAAGAACACCAGUGGCGGAAGGCGGCUCUCUGGGACGGUACUGACGCUGAGACGCGGAAAGCGUGGGGAGCGAACAGG